rnacentral:rRNA from 1 species
AACGUAGGAGACGAACGUUAUCCGGAGUUACUGGGCGUAAAGGGCGUGUAGGCGGGUUGUUAAGUCUGGCGUGAAAGCUCUCGGCUAAACCGGGAGAGGUCGUUGGAUACUGGCGAACUCGAGGAUGGUAGAGGCGUGUGGAAUUCCGGGUGUAGUGGUGAAAUGCGUAGAGAUCCGGAGGAACACCAGUGGCGAAGGCGACACGCUGGGCCAUACCUGACGCUAAAGCGCGACAGCAUGGGGAGCAAACGGG